rnacentral:rRNA from 1 species
UGCGUAGGCGGAAUAUUAAGUCAGUGGUGAAAUACUGCGGCUCAACCGUAGAACUGCCAUUGAUACUGAUAUUCUUGAAUGUAGUUGAGGUAGGCGGAAUGUGUAAUGUAGCGGUGAAAUGCUUAGAUAUUACACAGAACACCGAUUGCGAAGGCAGCUUACUAAACUAUGAUUGACGCUGAGGCACGAAAGCGUGGGGAGCGAACAGGAUUAGAUACCCUGGUAGUCC